AUGCAAAUUCCCGGGCUAGGGGUCGAACAGGAUCUGCAGCUGCUGGCCUACGCCACAGUCCCAGCAACUCGGGAUUGGAGCUGCGACAAUGACCUACACCACAGCUCGCUUACACCACAGCUACCACAGCUCACAGCAAGCCGGGAUCCCCGGCCCACUGAGCGAGGCCAGGGAUCAAACAGCAUCCUCAUAGAUACUAGUGGGAUUAGUUUCCGCUGCACCACAGCUGCAACAUGGAAUCCAAGCGGCAUCUUAGACUUAACACCGCAGCUUGUGGCAACGCAGGAUUCUUCACCUACUCUGUGAUCCACCUCACACACUUGAGGACACCAUAUCAGGUUUUUAACCGGCUGAGGCACAACAGGUACUCCUGAGAAUAGGUUUCAUCAAAUCACUUUUGCAAAGGAGAGAAGAUGCCUAUCCUGCUUGAGUGACAAGGGUAACUCUGAGGUCAGGGAACACUAACCUGCAUCUGGAGUCAAUGUAGGGCGAUGGGUGGAUCCAGUGAUAGCUCCUCAACUAGAAUUUAAUUUAAGCAAUAUAAUUAAGGAAGGAGUGCAACUGUCUGUGCCCAAAAUGCAAACUGGAAUGUUAAAUGCAAAACGCUACCGGUGGGAAAUGGGCCCACCGCAUGGGCAUCUAUCAAAACAUCAUAUCCACUUCCAUUUCCCACUCAUCCUGUGCUCAAUCCGUGGUCAGUUCCAGAAACUUUUAUAGGGACAAGCCUGGAUAGUGGGAGGUAAAGGAAUGAGGCAUGUAAUGAUUUAGGUCACCAGCCACUAUUUUAAAAAAAUUAAAAAGCAAAAAUCGAUAUAAACUGUGUUGCUCAUUUUAGUACUUGCUGUUCUAUUCCACACCUGAGGUGAAUAAAAUCAGAUACCUUUGAGAGAACCUGUUAUGUUGUUAUAAUUUGUCAGUAAUUUCUGAAUAGCCUUUUUAAUUCACUUUACAUUUAUCCAAAGGUCACUAGGAAGAAUAUUAAUAAAAAUACUGUUUUUAUAUUUUAGCCCUUUUAUUUUGUUUCUCAAUGUUCAGAUAUAUUUCUCAGGUAAAGAUAACAAAUCCUGUAUGUGCUCUUUAGAAGACUACUGAAUUUGUUUUCACCUUAACAAGGGGAUGUCGGAGUGCCCCUUUUGGCUCAGCAGGUUAAGGACCCAAUGUAGUCUCUGUGAAGAUGUGAUUCAAUCCCUGGCCGCUCAGUGGGUUAGGGAUCCAGCAUUGCCACAAGCUGUAGCAUAGGCUGCAGAUGCAGCUCCAAUUCGACCCAUAGCCUGGGAACUUCCAUAUGCCACAGGUCCAGCCAUAAAAAGAAAAAAAAAAAAAAAAAAGGGUGGGGUGUCUAUAUUAGUUGACAUAAACCCUAAAGGAAACAAAACUAGAUUUGUCAAAUUUCCAAUGGUUUCAUUUAUACAUUCAAUAAUAUUUAAGGCAAUAUGAAUGAGUUAAUAUUCACCAUGAAAUGUUUCAAAUCCCUACAUGUAGAGACUUCUCUCCAGAAGAAUUUUUUUAAUGCAACAGGAGCAUUUUGAAUAAAAAGCCUUUUAACAUAUUAAGUUUGUAAGGUUUCACUAC
rnacentral:lncRNA from 9 species